rnacentral:rRNA from 1 species
GACGAACGCUGGCGGCGUGCUUAACACAUGCAAGUCGGGCGGUAAGGCCCUUUCGGGGGUACGACGAGCGGCGAACGGGUGAGUAACACGUGGGUGACCUGCCCUCCAGCUCCGGGAUAAGCCUGGGAAACUAGGGUCUAAUACUGGAUAUGACUCCACGGUGCAUGUCGUGGGGUGGAAAGCCUUGUGCGGCUGAGGAUGGGCCCGCGGCCUAUCAGCUUGUUGGUGGGGUGAUGGCCUACCAAGGCGACGACGGGUAGCCGGCCUGAGAGGGCGACCGGCCACACUGGGACUGAGACACGGCCCAGACUCCUACGGGAGGCAGCAGUGGGGAAUCUUGCGCAAUGGGCGAAAGCCUGACGCAGCGACGCCGCGUGAGGGAUGACGGCCU